CACGUAGGGGACGAGCGUUGUCCGGAUUCAUUGGGCGUAAAGCGCGCGUAGGCGGCUCGGAAAGUCGGUCGUGAAAUGCCGGGGCUCAACCCCGGGACUGCGUCCGAUACUUCCGGGCUGGAGGUAGGUAGGGGAGAUCGGAAUUCCUGGUGUAGCGGUGAAAUGCGCAGAUAUCAGGAGGAACACCCGUGGCUAAGGCGGCUCUCUAGUACGGUACUGACGCUGAGACGCGAAAGCGUGGGGAGCGAACAGG
rnacentral:rRNA from 1 species